GCUCCUCAUGAAACCUCCACCAGCUGUAAAAUACCAUCUCCACCAACACUUCUGUCCGCUGCCUGAGAGCUCCCAAAAAGCACCCAGCCGUUACAGAACGGCAGCUCCUUGUUUCCUUGCCCCAUUCCACCGCUUUGACCUAGUGGGGUUUGCCUUAUCUUGGUCCAUCCCCGGCCAAUUUAGUCGCUCCACAAAACCAAACCCCUCUUCCCCUCCUCCCCCUCCAUUCGAUGCUGCCAUCCGCGCGCUCCGUCGCUUUCUUCGCCGUGCUCCUGCCAGGGUUGCUCGUCUCCGGCGUGUUGACGCCCGUGGCGCUUGAUCCGUCGGCGGAGAGCGAAUCUUGGGGGACCGCAGCUGCCGCCGCUGCUUCUGCUUCCCCUCUUCUUUCUCCUCCUACUCCUUGGCUUUCUCUUCCUGCUCCGCCUACUAGCGAGAUCUUCCAGGAAAAAAAAUGGACCGACCGGCCAUUGUCGGGGGAUUUGGUACCGGUCGAGGAGUCUCCUCCUUUUGUCCCGGAUCCCAAAUCGGCGUUGCUAUUGAGUUCGGCUGAAAGGUAAGCACUUGGAUUUUGGAUUGGUUCAAGUAAGAGCAGGGUUUUCUGUUAUCGCUCGUAUGUUUUUGAUUGGUUGUGUUUGUUAAAGAUCUAACUUUUUAACGUUCAAGACACGAAUUUGAAGAUAGUUGUCGUGAAAUUUGACUCUCUCCUUUCGAAAUUCGACAUUACUUGCAGCUUAGUAGAGGCUAGCUGCUGUAACAAUGACAAUUUGCUAGCUGUGAUAGGCGUUCUUUUAAGCACGUCGACUUGUGCGAAUAUGUGUUUCAAAGUAGCAGUAGCUUGAUUAUGGUAAUUCCUGGAAUUCUCAUGUGGCUCGAUGAAACAUUUUGCACCCACUAAGAACCAUUGGCUUUCUGAUAUUUUCUAUAUUAGCUUAUGGAAACAGUUGUUAGAUGAAUGCAUAGGUAUACCUUCAAGUGGGUGAAACUAAUACUAGGUGUUUUCAAGUUUUGUUAGUGCAAGUAAUUUUGGAUCUAUGAGCAAGCUUAUGAAUGCGAAUCAGCCAGUAAGUGUUCCUUAGGAAUUGUCACAAAUUCCGUUAUGGAUCAUGACAAGAUAGUGGAGAGACUAAACGAUGAACAUAUUUCUUUAGUUGGAUCACGAGGCUUGCCUACUUCCCCAAAUGGAUCUCCACUGGGAAAUUGCAUUUUUGAUAGGCCAAAAUUUCCUACGGCAUAUUCUAGUUAUGUAAACUCAAGACAGAGACCCAGAGGUCCGAUCAACUGGCUUUAUCACGAACAUGAGAGUUCUAAUACAUCACGGAACUCAUUGGAUGAUUCAAAUACUUAUUCAAUCGACAGACAUUCUCAUGUUCAGCAAGGCCAUGGCUUGUCAACGCAAUCUAUUUAUGGUCAUAGUUGGCUAUUUAUUCUCUCUGUGCCUAUAUUUGCAUUUUGCUAUUUUGGGUUGAGAAAGCUGUUCAAGAAUGAUAAAAAUAUAAUGAUUUGAAGGAAAAGGAAUCUGUCGUUCCUAAGAAGAGAAAAUCUCGGAAGUCCAGAAACUUGAAAAAUGCUACCAUCAGUGUUAGUCAUGACAGACAUACUUUAUCCAUGAAAGAGAAUGCUGAAACCAAUGGGCAUAAUCAAAUUCAGGUCAAUGGAAGUUAUUCAUUUAUACCUGAUGGUGAUAGUGAUGGGCGUUGGGUUGGAAGACUUUUUGUUACAAAUAUUGAAAUCGGUCACGGGAGCAAUGGUACAGUCGUCUUUGAAGGAUUUUAUGGUGGUCGUCCAGUUGCUGUAAAACGGCUUCUUCGUGCACAUUAUGAUGUUGCCUUUAAAGAGAUUCAGAAUCUUAUUGCAUCUGAUCGGCACCCAAAUAUUGUUCGGUGGUAUGGAGUAGAACAAGAGUUGGAUUUUGUGUAUAUCUCACAGGAGCGUUGUAUUUGCAGCCUAAGUGACUUAAUAUGCAUAUGCUCAGAUUCUUCUUCACAUUCAGUAUCUGUGGAAAAUCAAACAUCAAACUCUGUGGUUGAAGAUAAAGUUCAAUUAAGCUUGGUGAAAGGUAUCAGAAAGGAUGUUAAAACUUGUGGAGAUCAAAUGGGCUUCCUUCAAGCCAACUCUUAAAGAUAAUGAGGUGCGGGUUUGUCCUUUCCCUUGUAUGUCUCUUCACUGUAGAUUUUGUGUUGCUCUGUUACUUCUUUGUCUCCUUGUAUAUAUAUUUGAGUCAAUAUUUUUUUAUAAACAGCUUAUAGGUCAUCUUUUAUCUUACUUGUUGGCAUUGGGUGUUUACUGAACAGUGAAGAAUUACCAUUUAACAGCCAUUGUUUCCUUAAGAAUAUAAGACAAUGACAAUUUAAGUCUCAUUUGAUUGAAUUUAGCAAUUUGGUUUUUUCUUAGAAGUAGCUUCUUGAUUGCAAUAUUAUUUUCUUUCACAAAAGAAAACUUCAAAAUACAUCAGAACCAGUUCUGCUCUGUACAACAGAUGAUGGCGAAGUUGGGAAGAAGUUAUAUGCAUAUUCAUUAGUAACACAGUUUCUUAAGCACAAGAAAACUUUGUACAACAGAGGAUGACAUAUGUUUCUAUAUAAAAUCAAGAGUGACAUAGUUUCUUAAACAGAAUAAAAACCUAAAGUUUAUAGUAUUGACUGGAAAACAGCAGAUGUCAAAUUAGCAAAAAAGUUACAGUUAAUACAAUAAUUAGAGUGAAAAGCCUCAUCUAAGUAAUCCAAUUUGUUGUUGUUGUUGUUGUUGUUGUUGUUGUUGUUGUUGUGUAUCAUAGGGGCCUUUGACAUGUCUAACUUUAAGGCAAUAGCAUUUGCUUCUUUUCCUCAAGUUGCUUGUGUUGUCUAUUUAUUUUGGAAAUUGGCUAUGCUAAUUUGCAAAUUUUGGUAGCUAUUGAUCUUUUGUGAUACUGUGGAUCUGUUGUUUUUAAAACUUUAAUCGUGUUUGUUUUACAGAGAUGUAGUUUCUGGCCUUGCACAUCUACAUGAAGUUGGAAUCAUACACCGGGAUCUAAAGCCUCAAAAUGUGCUAAUAAGCAAUGACAGACAUCUUAAUGCCAAGCUUUCUGAUAUGGGUAUAAGCAAAUGCCUACUUGAAGACAUGUCUUCAUUGAGCCGUAAUGCUACUGGUUAGUGCACAAUGAGAACUUUAUAUCUCUGGUAUCUGACAAGUGUGCUUAUUCUUUUAUUAUCCUUAGAAAUGGACCAAGUUCAAGCAUGUUUUAAUUUACCAUAGGAUAUGGUACCUCUGGUUGGCAAGCACCUGAACAACUUCUUCAUGGGCGUCAAACACGAUCUAUGGAUUUGUUCAGUUUGGGUUGCAUACUAUUCUUUUGUAUUACCAAAGGAAAACAUCCAUUUGGCAAUCAUUUUGAAAGGGAUGCAAACAUUAUUCACAAUCGCAUGGACCUCUUCUUGGUGGAUCAUAUACCAGAAGCUGAACAUUUACUUUGUCAACUGUUACAGCCUGACCCAAAGAUGAGGCAAGCAGACCUUUUUUCACAAUUUCCAUGGUUACAUUGCAGUCAUUCCCUCUGCUCAUUUUUUCUGAUUUGCUAAGUACAUGCUUCUUGUGUAUCAUCAGGCUGAAUGCGGUAGAAGUAUUGUGUCACUCUCUUUUUUGGAGUUCUGAGACACGACUUUCAUUUUUACAAGAUGUAAGCGAUCGUGUUGAAUUAGAAGACAGAGAAAAUGAAUCGGAGCUGCUAAAAUCGUUAGAAAAUAGUGCGCCAAAUGCAUUUGGUGGGAAAUGGGAUGAUAAGUUAGAUGUUGCAUUCAUUACAGACAUGGGUCAUUACAGAAAAUAUCAUUUUGAUUCCAUACGUGACCUUCUACGAGUAAUAAGAAAUAAGUUGAAUCAUUACUGGGAACUUCCAAAAGAACUCCAGGUAGCCUCUUCCAUCCUUUUAUUUGAGUAUUUUCAUCUUAAAUUCUUGAGAUCAAUUUGCUCUGUGUGUGUAACUUGGUUCAAGUAAUUUCUUUGUGUGGUUUUCUUAUGUAGAUAUUUGUUGUUAUAUUAUCGCUUUGUUGAACCAAUCAAUUAGAAAGUGUGCUUCUUGCUUCACAAUGUGUUGCGAGUUUAGGUACCACAAUAUGUAUGCUGAACAUAUUAUUUGGUUUCCAAUACUUUUCCAUUUUGUCUGAUCAUCAUUUUUUUCAGGAGCAUUUUUCACUUCGGCUUCAACUGUAUGAAAAAGAACUUGAAUUGGAUAUACUUGUUGGGUUUGUUUACUUUUACCCUUUUUUUUUGGCCUGGAUCUCAGAUAAAAUAUUGCUCAUCAUCCCAUUAUUCUCUUUACUUGGUAUACCAAAUUUAAUGGUGUCAUACUGAUCCACUUGUUAAUGCUGAUUAACUAGUUGAGGGUGUUUCAUGUGUUGUGUGCUUUGUGAAUUGAGUCUCAUAUAUAAAGCAGUACUUGCAAGGGUAUUUGUUCUUUAUGCUGAAGUAUUUCCAACGGCUGCAGGAAACUCUUGGACCUGUUCCUCAAGGAUUUGAUAUGUACUUUGCAAGUCGAUUCCCAAAGCUCCUAAUUGAAGUCUACAAAGUGGUUUACCGAUUCUGUAAGGAAGAGGAUUACCUUAGCAAGUAUUUCCAAUGCAGCAGCCUUCUGUAGAUUCAGAUCUUCUGUUCCAAAGACUUGAACCAAUAUGAGAAGUGCUUGUUUUGUUCUCUCUAUCUCUCUCUCUCUUCAUUUGGCGAAGGUAGGACUUCUUUUGCUUCUACUAGUAUCGAUUUUAGUUCUAAUCCAUGAUCGGUAGAUGUUUCUUCUCAUCUCUGUAUUGGAUGAUCUUUGAGUGUAGUUCGAUGAAUUGAAUGAGGCAUCCUUCCUCUUUCAUUAGGAUGCUUGUCUUCUUAGUUCUUGUAUUAGCGUAGAGUAGAUCGGUGCGUUCUUUGUGUAGAUGGAUUCUCUCUGCUUUUGUUUCAUUUUUUAUCGGAAGAGAAAUGCUGAUCAUGAGGUUGGCAACCUUCAAGCGGAUUUUUGGUUAUCUUCUCAAAGUUUUAUGGCAAAUAUGCUUCCCGGUGAUGAUCGGGUCUCGCUGUUUCGGGUUUUCCUCUUAUGCGUAGUGCAGUAAUGUUGUUGACGUCACUCCGGUUUGUCUCUAUUCAACAGACCAUGUCAGACACAAGUCGAUGCAGCGAGCGCCGGUUUCUCCCACCAUUGGCAACAGCCGCGGCUGUUCGAUCGCAUCAUCACCGGAUAAGGCAUAUUUUGGACCUCGAUCACGACUCAGAUCCACCGUUAGCGUAAGUGCAAACAUGAAACCGCAGGACAUGAAUCGAGCAUCACGUCGAAUACACCCCUACAGAUUCAGCACAAAGGCCACCUCCCUCCCACGUCGAUCGAAGCCCGUGCAAGGAGGCGUCUUCUCGACAAGUCUUGUUCCGGAAAGUUCAGGACGAUGUUGCAUGGCGUCGUUUCGCACAUACCAAUCAGCGACCAUACGAAGAUACGAACUCACUGCUCAGGGAGUCGAUCGCUACGUCAAACCCACGUACGAUCGACUCUCGGGCACUAUUAUAAAAGCCGUUGACCAGCAUCUGGCUAGAGGAUCCGAGAAAAAAGCCAAAAACCACUGACUUAAACUCCGAGAGGCCUAAGUCGGGAAUCCCCUAAUCCAGGCCUAUGUGUAGGGACACGACCACUCCCAGGCCAGCUCAAAUCCUCGGUGGAGGCGCGUUCAACCCAACUUCUGAUCCAGCCCAACCUCGGGACCCACCCGAUCGAUUGAGAGACACACUCUCAUUGAUAUGAUCUUAUAAAUAAUUAAUAUUUGUACAAUAUAAUGAUAUAAUCUUAUAAAUAAUUAAUAUUCUUAGUCAUAUUUUUCAAAGCCGUUAAUAGAUUACAUUAAAAUAGUUUAGGUGCAUUUACUUAACUAUCCAUAAGAUUUACCUGUCUAAGUUUUGUGCUUAAUUUACAGAAUGGCCAUAUUUUCUUACUGUAGGAGCACAAACAUCAACGUUGUCGACUGAUCAUAUCAUAUACUACAAUACAAAAAUUUUUUUUUUUUAUUUUUGGGGGGUCGACAAGUAGAAUACAUAUUUUAAUGCUGUCCGUCCGAUCAGAAUCAUCUGAUGGGUGACGUGUCCAUAUUUGCUCUGCCAAGCUUGGCAAGUGAUGCAAAUAAUUGAAAGUUCCGUGAAUAAUGGGCCUUUGGCAGUAUCGUUAGUCCAUAGCCUAAUCGUAGGACCUGAUUUGAUAGCACAGUUAUGGGCCAAGCCCAACUAUACGUCACGAAUACGAAAGCCAUCAAACAAUCGUACGGUGUCGCAUAUGCUUUCCGUAGUGGCCCGCGCAAGCAAGAGGCUGCAAGGCGAAAAGGAAAGGGAGAUGAUCGGGUCUGUGGAAGCUCUUGGUAUGGGGCUGGGUUGGAAAACCCUACCGCCCCGCCAUGUUUGUCUUACAUGGAGUGAGGUCUUUUCCAAUGCCUCCAAUGCCGAUGGUUUCCAGGCACCCCUCCCUUUCCCUCUCUGAGUCUUUUGAGGAUUGGUGUGACAUGCGAUGGUGAAGAAGGCGCCGGGAGGAGGGAGAGGAAGCGCAGGGAUUCCUACAAGCUGUGGGGAUGGGGGCAUCGCCGUGCCCAUACCAGCUCUGGCUGAGAGAUGCAGGUUGAUGGUGCUUGCCGAUCCCUCCCAUGCCUAUGGUUUUUAGUAGCUCGUUCCUCUCCCUUGCCCCUCUUGUAAUGCUCUUACGUUAUGGAUGCGGCUUACAGUAAGAACAGGUGUUCUUAUUUCAGCCGCCUCCUCCACCAACCAUUCUGUCCGCUGCCGGAGAGCUCCGACAAACAACCCAGCCGUUUCAGAACAUCCCCCCUCUGCACCUUUUGUCGUCGGCUGCAACAGAAUGGCACCGCUCCACGCAUCCGUCGCCCUCCUCCCUUUACACCUCCUCCCCCGGUGGUGCCGUGUUAUCCCUCCAUGGUUUGGCUCCUCAUGAAACCUCCACCAGCUGCAAAAUACCAUCUCCACCAACCAUUCUUUCCGCAGCCUGAAAGCUCCGACAAAGCACCCAGCCGUUUCAGAAGGGCAACUCCUUGUUUCCUUGCCCCAUUCUACCGUUUUGACCUAGUGGGGUUCGCCUUAUCUUGAUCCAUCCCCGGCCAAUUUAGUCGCUCCCCAAAACCAACCCCCACUCCCCCUCCUCUCCCUCCAUUCGAUGCUCCCAUCCGAGCGCUCCGUCGCUUUCUUCGCCUUGCUCCUGCUAGGGU
rnacentral:lncRNA from 1 species